UACGGAAGGUGGCGAGCGUUAUCCGGAUUUAUUGGGCGUAAAGCGUCCGCAGACGGCUUGUUAAGUCUAGAAUCAAAGCCCGGAGCUUAACUCCGGUUCGUUCUAGAAACUGGCUCGCUUGAGUGUAGUAGAGGCAAGCGGGAUUUCUAGUGUAGCGGCAGAAUGCGUAGAUAUUAGAAGGAACACCAGUGGCGAAGGCGACUUGCUGGGCUAUUACUGACGUUCAUGGACGAAAGCGUGGGGAGCAAAU
rnacentral:rRNA from 1 species